ensembl:snoRNA SNORD58 Small nucleolar RNA SNORD58
CUGCAGUGAUGACGAUUCUUAGGACACCUUUGGAUUAACCAUGAAAACAAUGAUAAUUCUGAGCAGC